GCCACGCGCCGCUUGAGGAGCCGGAGUAGAAGCCUGGCUGCGGAACUUCUGCAGGCUCGGGCGCUCUGAGUGCAGAAGGGGCUCCGGUUCGAGGCCUGCGCGCGAGCAAGACGGUCAGAUCUAUCAGAAUGAAGAUGUAGAAUUCAGUUCCUCCUGUACCAUGCCUGCCUGGAUGCUGUUAUGCUGUCAUACUCCUGCCUGCCUUGAUGACAAUGGACUAAACCUCUGAACUUAUAAGCCAGCCCCAAUUAAACGUUGUCCUUUAUAAAC